rnacentral:rRNA from 1 species
UGGGGAAUAUUGCGCAAUGGGGGCAACCCUGACGCAGCCAUGCCGCGUGAAUGAAGAAGGCCUUCGGGUUGUAAAGUUCUUUCGGUAGCGAGGAAGGCAUUUAGUUUAAUAGACUAGGUGAUUGACGUUAACUACAGAAGAAGCACCGGCUAACUCCGUGCCAGCAGCCGCGGUAAUACGGAGGGUGCGAGCGUUAAUCGGAAUAACUGGGCGUAAAGGGCACGCAGGCGGUGACUUAAGUGAGGUGUGAAAGCCCCGGGCUUAACCUGGGAAUUGCAUUUCAUACUGGGUCGCUAGAGUACUUUAGGGAGGGGUAGAAUUCCACGUGUAGCGGUGAAAUGCGUAGAGAUGUGGAGGAAUACCGAAGGCGAAGGCAGCCCCUUGGGAAUGUACUGGCGCUCAUGUGCGAAAGCGUGGGGAGCAAACAG